GACGAACGCUGGCGGCGUGCUUAACACAUGCAAGUCGAACGGUGACCCAGGGCUUGCCCUGGUGAUCAGUGGCGAACGGUGAGUAACACGUGGGCAACCUGCCCCUGACUUCGGGAUAACUCCUCGAAAGAGAGCUAAUACCGGAUACGACCACUUCGGACAUCCGAUGGUGGUGGAAAGUUUUUCGGUCAGGGAUGGGCCCGCGGCCUAUCAGCUAGUUGGUGGGGUAAUGGCCUACCAAGGCGACGACGGGUAGCCGGCCUGAGAGGGCGACCGGCCACACUGGGACUGAGACACGGCCCAGACUCCUACGGGAGGCAGCAGUGGGGAAUAUUGCGCAAUGGGCGAAAGCCUGACGCAGCGACGCCGCGUGAGGGAUGAAGG
rnacentral:rRNA from 1 species